UAAUUUUUCGUCUUGUUGCACUUUCUUUUUUAUCAAAUAUUACAAGAUUACCUAUCGGCAGCUCAUGACGGGAUAAACUGUUGUCAAUAGACCGAAAGCCAAGCAUAAAUACAGCAACAUAAAUACAGCUUCUACCAUCUGGCCAGAAUGUUAAAGGCACAUACCCUUGCAAUUCGACUGCGAGCCAAUCGCAAUUUCGGAACAUUUUUCGUCUUUUCGUUGAACUAAAGAUCCACAAAAAUGGCUCGGUCUGUUAUCUUUGUAACAAUCUUUCUAGGGCUUGUAAUUGCAGAAAUCCAAGGUCUCCCGUUUUCGAGGGCCUGGCAGCCACUGGACUACUGCAAUUGCAUUAGUUUCGGGUCAACAGUGUGUGGUCGAAAUGGGGUUACGUAUUCCAGCAAGUGCUAUGCUGACUGUCUUGGUGGAGGUGUUGCCUAUAGUGGAGCUUGCCGCAAGAACACCAAGGCCAUCUUGUGCACUUUGGAAUACGCACCCGUGUGCGGUGCCGAUGGCGUCACGUAUAGCAACGACUGCCAUGCACGGACUGUCGGGGUUGCCGUAUUAUACCGUGGAGAAUGUCGACGCCAAAUGGUAUCCAAGUAAAACACUGGAUCAUGCAAUUUGCGAACACUUAAUCGACAACAAGUUGCGACUCGUACAGACUUCUAAUUUUGUCAUUGUUUCUAUGAAUUGUUUCUAUUUCAUUGUUUCCAUUUUUGUCAUUGUUCCUAUAAGUAAUUUAUGGUUGCCUAAUUAUGUUGUGAAUUCAGUUUGGCACGGCCAGCAAAUAUUGUAAAUUUAUUUGCAGUUUUAGGAUUAACUGAUGCGACAGUUUCUUUAACUGUACGUAGAAUCCUCGAAAUAUCAUGGACAUAUAAAAUGUAAUACGCAAGCGCGCUUCGGUGUUGAACCAAUUUAAAAGCUGUGGAGAAAGUUUUGGGAGGCCCAGAGCAGAUUCGGUUGUGAACUCGGGGAGAACGUUUCGGAAUA